GUGAUUGCUGGACCCAGACUAACAGGAGAUUAGUCUGUAAAGGGAAGUAUUCUGGAACUGUGAGUCCUUAUUGGAAACAACUGGGAGGUGGGCGGGCCUGCCCUGCGCCUCCUAUCCGGAGGAGCUCCCGGACUUGCCAAAGGAUCCCUGGCCGGAUGAAGCCAUGGUCCAGGAUUCCCCCGAGGCCAACACCAGCCCCCAG